AACCAAAUGGCAGAUGGAUUCACGGGUUUCAAUAUCCAGAUCGGGUGACCUAGCUGUUGCUCACUGGACUGAUUUUGUAUGAAAGCGCCUUCGUAUGUUUGGAUUUAAUAACAGCCUAACAUGUAUAAUGAAAGGUGCUUUGGAAACACGUGAUAACAUUGCUAGAUCCUGUUAUUUCAUCCUACGCCAACGCACCCUGUGAACACGAAUGGAAAAACGAGUCACCGCAAAUAGACCGAAGUGCAAAAUACAGUAAAUUUAUAAAGCUUAACAUUACCGAAAUGGUAUAUGCGGCAGCCGUGCCAUUCUUAUCCGUCCUUUACAAGGAAAAACAAGGGGCAAAACGAUCGCUAACAAGCUUGGUCUGAAUCCUCAAUCUACAGGUUUACAGGUUUCACGAAAAGGGACAUAUUUCGUAUCAUGAAAGCUUGUCCGGCCAGGCCCGUUUGCAAUUUUUGCCCUUGAUGUAUUAAAACAGGUACUGGAUGAAGUAGAAAGACAAUAAAAGACUUGGGAACAUUCGAGAAAGUAAUAAUGCAGCAGGAGAAGACUGUGAUGAUCUUUCGUGCUGCCUACAUUGUGCAGUGUAAGGACAUUAGCCUGUACCACCUACAGGGGAAGUCAAGGAGAAAACGCAUUAAUAGAGAAAAAGUGGAGCAUGUCCAUGUCUCUGUGACUAAUAGGCCAGUUGUUUUUAUUAAAUGAACAGGGGAUUAUUCUCGAGCAAGAAAGGCCAUGGCACAACUCGCGUAAAACUGUCAAAAACAUUAGUUAGUGUUAUGCAUAAGCUAACCUAUUGUGGCACUUGCAAUGAAAUCAUGAGCCAGCAACGGACAAACGAAUUCAGAAAUUCUUGAAACUCACGAUUAUAUUGGGAACGCAAAAAGGUUACGCGAGCAACAAAGAACUAUUACGAAAUAUUCAGUACAAAUUGCCACUUUUUAUGUCUGAGUGUGUAGAUUUACGACUGGCUUUCGCCUCUUUCGAAAUGCAACUCUUAGGUGUCAGGUCGUGUCCUCAGAUGCCUGGCACCAGUUGAAGUGUUUAGUCUACCUGUGUUGUUUCCAUUCACGGUACUGUUGUUAAAAUGAAAUUGGGUUCCUCUUCCCACAUUUAUUGUUGGUAUAUGAUCUAUUAAUAAUUUCCCUAGCUGUUCCUGGAAUGAUCAUUUCCUAACAUAUAUUACAGUGGUCUUCAUCUCUUCAGUUAUUAGAAUGAAAUGGCCUAUUUCUUCCUGGCUCUUACGAGAAUGAAGUAGUAGUCCUUUUCUUCCAAGUUGCUACUGUAAUGAAGAGGAUUUUUUUCCAGUUGUUAUGCUUCUGGAAUAGUACGAGUAUUUCUAUUCUCAGAAAGAGUUGGCUAUACUUUCACUAAAAGUCCCCGCUGUUAUUAAACGAACUGGUUCUUCACUUCCCAGUCGCUGUUAUCAGAAAGAACUGGUCUGGUGUCUUUCCGGUGGUGAAGCUGUUGGCGGAAUAGCCAGUUCCGCGCCACAAGACGCAGCCCCGUAUAUAGGGAUGGCCUUGAAUGUGCCGUACAACCGUGAAAUCUCGGUUCCUGCGUGAAGGCGUGAAGGAGGCACAUACAUAAAAGGAGACGACUAAUAAGGAUGGAAAACCAAAGGGGGUAGGGAAAUGUAAUUAUCAUACAGUACAAGGAAUAAUGAUAGUAAUAAUCAAUAUCAUGCAUUUUUCAGGAGACUGUACUCAAGUAAAACGCUGUUUAGUAACUUAGUUCAAAAUUAGUUUGAAAAUUCAAGGAAAUGAAGACUCGAUGCCACAGACAGACAGACAGACAGACAGACAGACAGACAGACAGACAGACAGACAGACAGACAGACAGACAGACAGACAGACAGACAGAGAGCAGCAGCAGUCAACAGGGAAAUCGUGCACUUAAUUAUUGCAUUUCGGAAAACCGUACCUUGAUAAUAAUAUCUUAGCUUUACUUGAAAUAUGUAGAAAUACACGACAAAAGGAUGCUCUACUAAAACAUAUGAACCAUAUUAAGUUUGCAUACGAACUAAACAGCAAAAAAAAAAGAGACAUACGACGCGCGAAAUCGAGUUAUCAGGAAAGGACAAAAACCAGACCACAAGAGUGUGUGGGAAGACUUGUUCACGUGCUUCUGUGUGCAUGUGUGGGUGCAACGCUGUAUUUAAGUAAACGAGUUAUCCGCCUGAUGUGUAGAGUAAUUUAGGUCAGGCUUAACGGUGUCGCCCCAUCCCUGUACCUGUGAUACUGCCUGAAUAUUCCCAUCACUCCAAAGGAACUACUGUUGGUACAUGAGCCAUGAUGCUUUCUCCAGCAUUCGAAUGGGGCUGUAAAGGAUCCAGUAUGGUAAGGGCCAAGCAGUCUACUAGUCGAAGAGAGAGGCAAAUCGCUACGAUCACAAACGAAUGACGAUAACUAGAACGAUAGCAAAGUUGGAAUGUUAUCAAAGAUGAUGCUAAUGUAAAAGAUGCCUUUCUGGGGCCAACACAUCAUUUCGAUUCAGCAAAAUAAGGAAUGAUAACUUUUUUAGAAGCCAUCACUAAUGGUUUUUUUUUAAAUCUUUAAGUGUUGUAUGUAUAACUGAUCCCAAACCUUAUUUCCAAGUUUCUCUACAUAUUCUGCUGGCCAUUUACUUUCUCCUUUCUUGAUUACAACUAGUAUCUGCUGAGUAAUAGAAGGUAUUCUAGAGCAGUAAAGCUCCCUACAUAAAGUUAACAUAGCAUUCAUUCAGAGAAACACUAACUUACAUGGAAGGAUUACCUAAACUUUGUCAGACACUCUAACAAGUAAACAAUCACCCUGAUGACAGGUGAUCAGAAUUCCAUAUCUAUAACCAGGUAUUCUUACUGCCAGCACAUUUCAAGCUUUAAACAUAAAAUACUUUUCAUUUCAGGCAACGUGUAUGAGGUGUAUAUUAUACAACUGCUUUUUAUUGUCAAAAUGUUUUCGUGUAUGUACCUCCCUAGAAUGUUAAAUAUUGUAUGUAUGAAUGUCUCCCUAAAUUUACUUUGUUGUUUAUAAUAAAUGUUAAGGGUUAA